AUUGAACGCUGGCGGCAGGCUUAACACAUGCAAGUCGAGCGGGGGAGGUUGCUUCGGUAACUGACCUAGCGGCGGACGGGUGAGUAAUGCUUAGGAAUCUGCCUAUUAGUGGGGGACAACAUUCCGAAAGGGAUGCUAAUACCGCAUACGCCCUACGGGGGAAAGCAGGGGAUCUUCGGACCUUGCGCUAAUAGAUGAGCCUAAGUCGGAUUAGCUAGUUGGUGGGGUAAAGGCCUACCAAGGCGACGAUCUGUAGCGGGUCUGUGAGGAUGAUCCGCCACACUGGGACUGAGACACGGCCCAGACUCCUACGGGAGGCGGCAGUGGGGAAUAUUGGACAAUGGGCGGAAGCCUGAUCCAGCCAUGCCGCGUGUGUGAAGAAGGCCUUUUGGUUGUAAAGCACUUUAAGCGAGGAGGAGGCUACUAGUACUAAUACUACUGGAUAGUGGACGUUACUCGCAGAAUAAGCACCGGCUAACUCUGUGCCAGCCGCCGCGGUAAAAC
rnacentral:rRNA from 1 species